UCUCUCUUCCUGUCUGUCUGUCUGCCUGCUUGCCUUGCUCUUUACCUGUCUGUCUCUCUGUAGGGGUGUUGGUUGUAUCUUCUAUGAGAUGACAACAGGUCGACCUCUGUUUCCUGGUUCCACAGUGGAGGAGGAGCUUCACUUCAUCUUCAAACUCUUGGGUACUCCCACAGAGCAGAGCUGGUCUGGGAUCAGUUGUAAUGACGAAUUUGUUGCGUAUAACUAUCCUCUCUACCGAGCGGAGAGACUGAGUAACCACACUCCCAGGCUCAGCACUGAAGGAGUUGAGCUGUUGUCAAAGUUCCUGAAGUUUGAAGGGAAGAAGAGGAUCUCAGCAGCCGAGUCAAUGAAUCAUCGUUAUUUCAGUAACCUAGGAAACAGAGUGAUGAUGCUUCUCGACACAAUGUCCAUCUUCAGUCUGCCAGAGAUUCAACUGGAAAAAGAAACAAUCAGACCAACACUCACCUCUGAUCCAGCUCCAUGACAACUAAGCAGCACCAUCCAUUGAGGAAGAUCAUGUGAUAUGACUGAAAGCUCCAGAACAACAGCCGCCUUAUGUGAACAGUCCGGCCAAGAGGCGUGGUCUACUACUCUGACAUCAUGGUGGAGGCAUGGUCUGCUACUCUGACAUCAUGGUGGAGGCGUGGUCUGCUACUCUGACGUCAUGGUGGAGGGGGGUCUGCUACUCUGACAUCAUGGUGGAGGGGGGUCUGCUACUCUGAGAUCAUGGUGGAGGCGUGGUCUGAUCUUCUGACAGCAUCGUAGAGGCGUGGUCUGAUCUUAUGACAUCAUCAUGGAGGCGGGACAAAGGGAAACUGAAAGAAGCAGAGGUGAUGAUGAUGAUUUUCUUUUCUCUGGAGGAGUAAAAUAAGAUCAGGAAUUAAAACAAAAGAAGAAGAAAACAAAGUAAGCACUGAAAUGAUUGUUAAUCAAGAGAAGAAGAGAAGAAAAUGUCAGACAGACAGAUUAAUGCAAUAAUGGAUCACAACAGCCAUCUGACCAAUCAGUUACCAGUAGGUUGUAACUAUCAGCAUGAGAUUCCCAUCAGUACACGAACGGAUGAACAGAUUAAUGACUUACAGGUUAUUGAACAGAACAGAUGUUGGAAUGUAAAUUCUGUCUUCCAUUUUCAGAUUCAACACAAAUUUCCUGAAUACAGGUAUCACCUGUGUGUGUAAUAACUCGUCAAUCAUUGGGAUUGCACUAAAACUGUAUUUGUUUUAUUUUAAAAGAAAAACUAAACCAUCAGACAAAGUUCAUCAUCAGUUCAGACAGGAAGUGCUGUUUGGUAUUCUGAAUAUAAAUUGAAUGUGACUAAAGUUACAGGAAAGAAUCGAUGAAGAAUGUUUCAUUUUUUAUAGUUUAAAGUCUUAAUAGAUUACAUUUACAUUACAGUCAUUUAGCAGACGCUUUUAUC